rnacentral:rRNA from 1 species
GGUGUUGGAUGUCCCGGUUCAAGCGUGUAGUCGUGGUCUCUAGGCAAAUCCGGAGAUCUUAGAUGAGGCGUGAUAACGAGGAAGCUUGCUUCCGAAGUGAGUGAUACCCUGCUUCCAGGAAAAGCCACUAAGCUUCAGCUUGCAACGACCGUACCGCAAACCGACACUGGUGCGCGAGAUGAGUAUUCUAAGGCGCUUGAGAGAACUCAGGAGAAGGAACUCGGCAAAUUGACACCGUAACUUCGGAAGAAGGUGUGCCCUAUUAGUGUGAAGUGAACAACGGAGCAUGAAUGGGUUGCAAAAAAUCGGUGGCUGCGACUGUUUAUUAAAAACACAGCACUCUGCAAAGACGAAAGUCGACGUAUAGGGUGUGACGCCUGC